rnacentral:rRNA from 1 species
GAUGAACGCUAGCGGGAGGCCUAACACAUGCCAGCCGAGCGGUAGAGUUUCUUCGGAAACUUGAGAGCGGCGCACGGGUGCGUAACACGUGUGCAACCUACCUUUAUCUGGGGGAUAGCCUUUCGAAAGGAAGAUUAAUACCCCAUAAUAUAAUGAUUGGCAUCAAUUAUUAUUGAAAACUCCGGUGGAUAGAGAUGGGCACGCGCAAGAUUAGAUAGUUGGUGAGGUAACGGCUCACCAAGUCAAUGAUCUUUAGGGGUCCUGAGAGGGAGAUCCCCCACACUGGUACUGAGACACGGACCAGACUCCUACGGGAGGCAGCAGUGAGGAAUAUUGGACAAUGGGUGAGAGCCUGAUCCAGCCAUCCCGCGUGAAGGAGGACGGUCCUAUGGAUUGUAAACUUCUUUUGUACAGGGAUAAACCUACCCUCGUGAGGGUAGCUGAAGGUACUGUACGAAUAAGCACCGGCUAACUCCGUG